UGUUCUUGCUUCUUUGCACUAAGUACUAAAAGUAGAUUGACAAUGAGAAGAUUAGCAUGGAUCCUGCUCAAAAAUGAAAUGCAAAUUCAUGAAAUAUUUUAUAUUAUU
ensembl:snRNA U6 U6 spliceosomal RNA